rnacentral:rRNA from 1 species
GACGAACGCUGGCGGCGUGCUUAACACAUGCAAGUCGAACGGGCCCGCCCCUGUUUUUGGGGGUGGGUUGAGUGGCGAACGGGUGAGUAUCACGUGAGUAACCUGCCCCCUGCUCCUGGAUAACUGCUUGAAAGGGCGGCUAAUACGGGGUGUGCCGGCUGGUCCGCAUGGGCCUGGUCGGGAUAGUUUCAUCUUCGGGUGUUUCGGUGGGGGAUGGGCUCGCGGCCUAUCAGCUUGUUGGUGGGGUGAUGGCCCACCAAGGCGGUGACGGGUAGCCGGCCUGAGAGGGUGGGCGGCCACCCUGGGACUGAGACACGGCCCAGACUCCUGCGGGAGGCAGCAGUGGGGGGUAUUGCACAAUGGGCGGAAGCCUGAUGCAGCGACGUCGCGUGAGGGAUGGAGGCCUUCGGGUUGUGAACCUCUUUCUCCGGUGGUGAAGGCCCUGUCCGUUGCGGCGGGGUUGACGGUAGCCGGGUAUGAAGCGCCGGCUAACUACGUG